rnacentral:rRNA from 1 species
GGCCACAGCCAUAUCACCCUGCAGCCAUAUCAUCCAGGGCUGAGUCUGGUCAGUACCUGGAUGGGAGACCACAUGGGAAAACUAGGUUGCAGUUGGAA